rnacentral:rRNA from 1 species
GACAGAGGAUGCAGGCGUUAUCCGGAAUGAUUGGGCGUAAAGCGUCUGUAGGUGGCUUUUCAAGUCCGCCGUCAAAUCCCAGGGCUCAACCCUGGACAGGCGGUGGAAACUACCAAGCUAGAGUAUGGUAGGGGCAGAGGGAAUUUCCGGUGGAGCGGUGAAAUGCAUUGAGAUCGGAAAGAACACCAACGGCGAAAGCACUCUGCUGGGCCGACACUGACACUAAGAGACGAAACCUAGGGGAGCAAAUGGG